rnacentral:rRNA from 1 species
UACGGGGGGGGCAAGCGUUGUUCGGAAUUACUGGGCGUAAAGGGCUCGUAGGCGGCCAACUAAGUCAGACGUGAAAUCCCUCGGCUUAACCGGGGAACUGCGUCUGAUACUGGAUGGCUUGAGGUUGGGAGAGGGAUGCGGAAUUCCAGGUGUAGCGGUGAAAUGCGCAGAUAUCGGGAAGGAACACCAAUGGCGGAAGGACGAGCUUGCUGGGACGGUACG